UUUCAGGUAUACACUACAGCGUUUUGUGCUGC
rnacentral:piRNA from 1 species